AUGGCUCAGAUUGAACGCUGGCGGCAUGCCUUACACAUGCAAGUCGAACGGUAACAGGUCUCGGAUGCUGACGAGUGGCGAACGGGUGAGUAAUACAUCGGAACGUGCCCAGACGUGGGGGAUAACGAGGCGAAAGCUUUGCUAAUACCGCAUACGAUCUAAGGAUGAAAGCAGGGGACCGCAAGGCCUUGCGCGUUUGGAGCGGCCGAUGGCAGAUUAGGUAGUUGGUGGGAUAAAGCUUACCAAGCCGACGAUCUGUAGCUGGUCUGAGAGGACGACCAGCCACACUGGGACUGAGACACGGCCCAGACUCCUACGGGAGGCAGCAGUGGGGAAUUUUGGACAAUGGGCGAAAGCCUGAUCCAGCAAUGCCGCGUGCAGGAUGAAGGCCUUCGGGUUGUAAACUGCUUUUGUACGGAACGAAAAGGCUCUGGUUAAUACCUGGGGCACAUGACGGUACCGUAAGAAUAAGCACCGGCUAACUACGUGCCAGCCGCCGC
rnacentral:rRNA from 1 species